CCCCAAGGAAUCCAGAGAAAGCUAUUACAGCUAAUAUAAGUCAGUUCAGCAUAGUUGCAGGGUACCAGGUCAACACACACAGAUCAGCUAUGUUUCUACACACUAGCAAUGAAUAAUCUGAAAAGGAAAUUAGGAAAGAAAAUCCAUUUAUAAUCGCACCUAAAAGAAUUAAAUAUUUAGGAAUAAAUCUAACUAAAUAGGUCAAAGAUUUGUAUGCUAAAUAAACAUUACAAAACACGGCUGCUAGAAAUUAAAGGAGACCUAAAUACAUGGAAAGACAUCUCACAUUUGUGGACCGGAAGACUUAACAUUGUUGUCGAUACUACCCAAAGUGAUGUACAGAUUCAAUGCAAUCCCUAUCAAAAUAAUAGCAUUUUUUUUGGAGGAAAUAGAAAAAAAUCCUAAAAUCCAUGUGGAAUCUCAAAGGUCCUUGAGUAACCAAGACAACACUGAAAAAAAAAAAAAAGAACAAAGCUGGAAGACUCACACUUCCUGGUUUCAAAACUUACUGCAAAGCUACAGCCAUCAAACAGUGUGGUACUGGCAUAAAGAUGGAUAUACAGACCAAUAAAUAGAAUAGAGAGCCCAAAAAUAAACCCUUGCAUUCAUGGUCAUGUGAUUUUUGACAGGUGUGGCAAGACAUUUCAAGCAGGAAAGAACAAUGUUUUCAAUAACUGGUGCUGGGAAAACUGGAUAUGAACAUGCAAAAGAAUGAAGUUGGAACCUUACCUGACACCGUACACAAAAAUUAAAUCAAGUGGAUUAAAGACCUAGAUGUUGGUGUCAAACUAUAGAACCGCUUAGAAUAAAAUAUCAGGGAAAAUCUUCGUAACAUUAGAUUUGGCAACAACCUCAUGGAUAUGACACCAAAAACACAGGUGACAAAAAAAAAAAUAAAUUGAGCUUUGUCUAAAAUUAAAAGCUUUUCUAGGGCACCUGGGUCGCUCAGUCGGAUAAGCAUCUGACUCUUGAUUUUGGCUCAGGUCAUGAUCUCACCACCAUGAGACUGUGCCAGGCAUUGGGCUCUGGGCUGACAUUGUGGAGCCUGCUUGUGAUUCUCUCUCUCCUCUCUCUGCCCUUUGCCCCCCUUUCUCUCUCUCUCUCUUAUGCACUCAACAAUCCCUCUCAAAAUAUAUAAACAAACUUUAAAAAUAAUUACAUUAAGUUAAAAACUUUUCUUCAUCAAAGGAUACUGUUAAGAAAGUGAAAAGAAAAUCUACCGAACGAGAAAAAAAUCUUUGCAAGUCACAGAUCUAAUAAAGGAUUCAUAUCCAGAAUAUACAGAAAACUAAACUCAACAACAAAAACAAUCUGAUUAAAAAUGAUGGGAGAAGGACUUGAAAAACGCUUCUCCAAAGAAGACAUACAAAUGGUCAGUAAGCACAUGGAGAGGUGCUCAAUAUCAUAUGAAAUUACGGAAAUGCAAUUCAAAACCACAAUGAGAUGCCCCUUUAUAUCUCCUAGGAUGAGUAUACUUUAAGAAAAUAGUAAAAAAUGGAAAGUAACAAGUGUUGGCAAAGAUGCAGAAAAAGCAAAACCCUCGUGCACUGCUGGUAGGAAUGUAAAAUGGUAUAGUUGCUGUGGAAAACAGUUGACAAUUCUUCAAAAGCUUGUAUAUAAAACUACCUCUGACCCGGCCAUUCCACUCUUAGGUACAGAGUCAAAAAAAGUGAAAGCAGGGACCCAAACAGAUAUGUGCACAGGUCCCUUCACAGUAGCAUUAUUCAUGACAGCCAAAAGGUGAAACAACCCUAGUGCACAUGAACAAAUUAACGGAGAAAUAAAAUGUGGUAUAAAUGUACAAAAUGUGGUAUAUACGUACACUGGAAUAUCACUCCGACAUGGAGUACUGGAAUGAAAAUGGAAUGAAAUUUUGAUACAUGCUACAACAUGGGUGAACCCUGAAGACAUAAGGCUUAGUGAAACAGCCAGACACAGAAGGACAAAUACUGUAUUUUCCACUUAUACAAGGCAUCUAGAAGAGGCAAAUUCAUUGAAAGGAAGUAGAAUAGAGGUUUCCAGGCACUGGGGAGAGGGGAGGAAGAGUGAAUUAUUGUUUAAUAGGUAUAGAAUUUUUGUUGGAGAUGAUAAAAAGGUUUUAAGUAUAGAAAGUGGUGAUAGUUACACAUACUCCGAAUGUGUUUAAUGCCACUGAGUUGUAUACCUAUAAAUGGUUAAAAUAAUUAGUAUGACGUGAAUAUUUUAUUUAAAUGUACAUCUUUCUAUGCAUGUAAAUACUAUGUUAUGUACAUUUUCCACAAUUAAAACUUUAGAAGUCAUGGCCAACCUUCCCCCGACCCCCCACCAUAAAGAGAUGACUAGGUAUUAGCCAGGUAAAGGCGGAGGGGAAGCGUUCACAGAGGGAACCGCCUAAAUGAGCAGUGCUAGUAAGUGGCAGAGAGGGGAUCUGAACCGUCUGACAGUUCUCCCUCCGCAGGCCGUGGUGACCCAUUGCCUACCCUGGCACCGAGUGACCACGUGGGUGCCCUGCACAUGCAGCAGCCCAAGUGGCCGCUAUCUCCUCAGAUGCCUGCAGACAAUGCGCUGCACCUCGUGCCCACGGCAAACACACCCCUGGGCUCACCUUGGUGGCCAGAGAGGCAGCAAGUUCUUUGGUGAGCUCUUCCAGGGCCUCCCGGUUCCGGCCACAGAGCACCAGCCUGGCACCUGCAGUGUAGAAGACUUUGGCGCAUUCUAAGGGAAGAAGAAAGAACCUUGUCAGCUGAGGAGAUUCCAUGCCUUUCUUCCCCGGUGCAGGUCAGUCCAAACUUACCCGAUGUUUCAGAAUAUGAAUUUGUUUCUUCACAUGCUCUACACAUGUGUAUUCGCCCCUGCUGUGGAUCAGGCAUGAAGCCAGGAGUUAAGGCCCCAAUAAUAAAUGAGCUCUGUUGUUGUCCUGAGAGAGCUCAGGGUCAGUGGUACAAGAGACAUCCACAAGGCAAGAGGAAGGCCGAGGCUGGUGGACAGAUUUGUUAGGUACCAUGCUCAGAACUUUCCAUAAUGAUCUUUAGCUCUGAACAACCCUGUGAGCAUUAUCCUCAUUUUCACAGCUGAGGAAGCUCGAAGAGGUCAAGUGAUACACUCAACGAUCAGGCAGCACCAGCUACUGCGAGACCGUGGUUUGCCGAGGCCUGCAUUCUGGCACAAUCUAGGCUGUUUCCCAAAUCAUUUCAAUGUAACAGGUACAGCUCUACAGGGGGUAGAUGGUUCCUACAAGCACAGGGGGCACAGGAUUCUGUUGAGAAGGGAUGGGGGGCCCUACCCCAGUCCUGAGGCCUGAGGGGCUGUUUCUCUGGAAAGCACUUAAGGCUAAAGGAGCAGAGUUUGCAAAGCACCUGAGGGGCCAUGGACAGACACAUCUGGGACACAGAAUGUCAGCCUUGCUGGGUUGGGAAAUGACAAACAAGUCAGCAGAGCUGAACGUGCCGGGUGCCUACAACAGCAAAGGAUCAGUAAGGGAGGCUGUGUCUAAGAGGCUGCCUCCGGCUGGGUGAGAAGAGGACUUGUGGCGAUCAGGCUCUGCUGAACCCACUACAACAUUCCAGGCAACAAGUGAUGAGGACAUCAACUGAGACCAAGGUACCUCUAUUAGCGUUCUUUUGGUGGCAAGAAAAGAGACCCAAUACACACUGGGGCAAAGCAAAAAGACUGACCAGGAGGAUGCUGGGAUUGCUCAAGAAUGAAGAGAAAAGAGCAGAGUGGCCAAGGCUGGGGAGGGGCAGGAGUGGUGGCUGCCCAGGGCCUCCGGCAGCAGGAACCAGGUGCUGGCAGGGCUUUUCUCCAUUUCAUCUCCUGGGCCUGGCUUCCCCUCAUCAACACAGCUCCCCUGACUCUGGGAGAGGGGCCUCUGACUGAGGCAGGCUCUGUGGCCAGCUGCGGUGGGGUGGUAUCUCUAAGACUAGCCCAGCAAGGGUCACAGGUAAGUCCCCUGAGGCCCAGGGGGAAGUGUAGGGAGGGGAGACCUCCAGAACCAGGACUAGACUGUGGGGGAUAUUGAGAGAUCAAGUCUGUCAAUUCCUGGUUGGGAUAGGAGGAGGUUGUGAGUCCAGACAGGGUGUACCGGUCUGAUAGUCCUUCACCCACAAAAGUGUCAAAAGCUUAGAAGGGCUCAAAACAGGAAGGGAAAAGAAACUCCAGCAUCCUUCAGGAAAACACAGAGAAAGUUCUUUUGACAUCUAGAUUGUCUUGUUGUGCAAAGCCCUCUCUUUUCACUCUACAGCUCCUCCUUUAGCUACUCUUAGAGCUUUCACUUACCAUCCUCAGACCAGCACCUCCUAGUAUGUCUCCAGGUGGACUUUUCUGGAAGGAAGUGCUAAGUGGACUAAACCAAGGGAUUUUCAGGUGCGCUAUAUCACCUUCUUUGAAGAUGUGGUUGGUCUGUUCACUGGCUCAUCCUGACAAAGGGCACAAACCCAGACAGAGCUGCAGCCCUCACUCUGCUUGUCCCCACAUGGUCUGGUCAGGAUCACAGCUCCUGCCCAGCCUGCCUUGCUGUGCUUUCUCAGCAGAGCAGCAAACGCCUCAUAGGGGUGGGGGUGGCGGCUGCCCUCAAAGCCAGACAGCAGCAUUCCUGAGGCUAGAUCUGCUCAUCUGGCUUACAAAAUCAUUCCAAAAGAUGAGGAAUCUCUGGCAUGGCCAGCCUCCUCACCCCAUUUCAUCCCGACGUGACUGACACAAUGGACGUGUCAUAAGGUGCCACCACAGGGUGCAGACACGCAGAACCAAAGGUGGGGAGAGGCACACUAGCAUAUAAACAGCUUCUGGAGAAUGGUCACGUACAUUCUGCUUAAGCUUUGCUUCCCAGCAAAGCCAAAAAAAGGAGGAAAUUAAAGUCUGUGUAGGGAGUGACAGAAAUGAAAACGACAGAUUGCAAGGAUUCCAUUUUCAUUUCUUGAAAAAGCUGACACAGGGAGGCAGGAGGGUCAAGGGAAAAAGGAAAACAGUCCCAAAGUACCAUUUAUCUAGCUAGGGCUGCCAGAUGAUCCCCCAGUGCUGCAGGCACUCUGGGCCUCCUACAUCAAGAUAGUUAUUCACAACCUCAGGGCUGAGGCUGGCUAAAGUGGGUAUGCAGAACAUUCUGUUCCUUUAGUCAAUGGUCUUACUGUUUUACAAGGAUAAGCUCAUGGAGCUUACAUAUACAAAAUAGGGGAGAAAUAACAGAAAGCUAUCUGAAGACUAUCACAAUUCAGACGUUCAGAGCAGCUGACACGGCAGGCAGGCAGAGCAGAGCCACCAAGGGCAACCCGUGGCCGUCCUCCUCUGAAAGCUAAGGUGCAGCAGCACCUCCUUGGGAGUCACCAACAGUGGCGCCUGUACUUGCAACGGCUGGGUGAGAAUCUGUUCCCGUUCUGGCUGGCUGGAGUGGGGAGAGAUCCAUGGACUCUUGUCCCUAACAUGUUACAUAGGACACAAUAUAAGCAGGGUGAUUUGGAAUUUGGGAAAAGGCUGACCUAUAUAGGAGAUACACACACACACACACACACACACACACACACACACACACACACGUAUUGUUUUUCUUUCAAUUAUAUUUUCUAUUCCCUUCCUAGUCUUGGUUUCCAGAAGAGGAACCGCAGAAUGAUGAAGAGGACAGUGUCCUUCUCCAACAUUCCCAUAUCAGAGUACCUGCAAGUUACCUUUCCAUCCCAGCCAACUCUCAAAUACUGUUCAAGGACUUAAAAAAAAAAUGCUUCUCUCUGAGAUCAAGAGAAGUGGCUGCUGACUACCCUAUAUAUAGUAGCUGAGUAAGGUCAGAGAACCGACUGUGGCAAAGGGCCUGGAGGCAGCUGUCCCCACGCAGGUCUAGAUAUCUAAUGACAGGCCCAGAGUUCACCCCCAGAGAUCUCAUCUAAAACAUCAUAGCAGCAUGCGGAUGAACCUACCUACAGCUUUCCCAGGCUCCCCCUGGCUGCCCGCAAGCCACUUACCCAGCAGACGAGACCCCAUCUGCUCCUUUAUGUUCCUGCAACCGCCAAGUGCUUCCCACCCCCGCACAACCAUGCUGCUCCCUGCUCUGGGCCCAUCUGCAACACCCUCCCUGUUGGCCCGUGCUUUCCUUUCCCUGGCCAUCCCCCCCACAGGUGACACAAGACGGAGUCCUGGAGUCAGACAUGGGGUUUGAAUCUAGAAGUCCUAGGGCAAGUCUCUGAAUCUUAGCUGCAAGGAUUCAGGGAGAUAAAGCACAACCCAGCACAUUCGUCUACUGGGCCUCAACGGGAACAUCCGUUACUGAAAUGUCAAUAUGCUGAGAUGCUGAGAAGGAGGAAGCUCCAUAGGACGUGCCUGCAUUUGUCCUUGGUACUAUGCCAAAGUCAAUGCACAUGUGUGCAAGGGAAAUGACGGCAGCUCUACAGACUCAUCUGUACGAGGCAGGGGGCGGUGACUGACUCUGGGCCUGUGUCCCGGCACAAAGUUCCUGGGGCCGAGAGGCUCACCGCGUUCACCAAAGUAGAUGGAACUAACCUGGAGAACCCAGGCCCCGUGCUCUAUGCUGACUGCUCACCAUCGUGGAACUUGCUUUCUCUCACUCUGGCUGACAUGAGCAAACAGCAAAGCCACAGACCUCGCGAUGCCUCUCAGGCGCACAGCAACCCCAGAACAAGCUGAGGGAGCCAUUCGGCACAGCACCCAGUUACUUAUGAGUAUUCCAGGAGGCUCCGGCCCGUCAACGCUCACCUGAAUCCCCUUCAGAAGCCUAUUUAGGGGAACUUAGGUAUGCCCAUUAUCAUUUUCAACCCCUAUUUGUGAAACUAAAAAACAUUUUUUAAAAAGGAAAGAGAAGGGGCGCCUGGGUGGCUCAGUCGGUUAAGCAUCCGACUUCAGCUCAGGUCAUGAUCUCACGGUUCGUGGCUUCAGGCCCCACGUCAGGCUCUGUGCUGACAGCUCAGAGCCUGGAGCCUGCUUCAGGUUCUGUGUCUCCCUCUCUCUGCCCCUCCCCUGCUCCCACUCUGUCUCUCUCUCUCUC